rnacentral:rRNA from 1 species
ACGGCUCAGUAACACGUGGACAACCUACCCUCAGGAGGGGGAUAACCCCGGGAAACUGGGGAUAAUACCCCAUAGACCAGGGACGCUGGAAUGCCUCCUGGUCCAAAGGUCCGCCGCCUGAGGAUGGGUCUGCGGUCGAUUAGGUUGUUGUUGGGGUAACGGCCCAACAAGCCUUUGAUCGGUACGGGUUGUGAGAGCAAGAGCCCGGAGAUGGAUUCUGAGACACGAAUCCAGGCCCUACGGGGCGCAGCAGGCGCGAAAACUUUACAAUGCGAGAAAUCGUGAUAAGGGAACCCCGAGUGCCCGUAAAUUCGGGCUGUCCGCCAGUGCAAAUAGCUGGUGAAGAAAGGGCCGGGCAAGACCGGUGCCAGCCGCCGCGGCAAUACCGGCGGCUCGAGUGGUGGCCACUAUUACUGGGCUUAAAGCGUCCGUAGCUUGAUUGUUAAGUCUCUUGGGAAAUCCACCGGCUCAACCGAUGGGCGUUCAGGAGAAACUGGCAAUCUAGGGACCGGGAGAGGUGAGAGGUACUCCAGGGGUAGGAGUGAAAUCCUGUAAUCCUUGGGGGACCACCUGUGGCGAAGGCGUCUCACUAGAACGGCUCCGACAGUGAGGGACGAAAGCUGGGGGAGCAAACCGGAUUAGAUACCCGGGUAGUCCCAGCUGUAAACGAUGCGCGUUAGGUGUAUCGGUGACCACGGGUCAUCGAGGUGCCGAAGGGAAACCGUGAAACGUGCCGCCUGGGAAGUACGGUCGCAAGGCUGAAACUUAAAGGAAUUGGCGGGGGAGCAC